rnacentral:lncRNA from 1 species
UAAUGCUUGAAGCAAUAUCAAGUGUGUGUGUGUGUAUAUAUAGCUCCAUUACAAAAAUAGUGGUGCAUUACAGGAAAACAUUUGAUUAAUUUAUUUGAAAACGAUCUAUACUACCUGCAAUUUCCUUUUUUUCUAUGUAUAUUGAGUGCUAUCUACUGGAGGAUUCAUAAAUUACGGUUGUAUACAUCCUACAUUAUAGCUCUACUUGUGAUUAUUUUAGUGGUUUAUUUUGCUCUUUGUGCAGUGGGAUUGCACUUAAGUGUAUAGCAGACAUAAAUUAUUAAGCCAUAAAGUGCUUUUUAUUGCCCAAUAUUAAGAGCAAUAUUUGUGUUAGCGCUUCAAAAAUUGUUUAUUUUUUAAAAAACAAACCCAUUAUGGUGGGGGUAGGGCUUACCGUGCAGAGGGGGCGGGGCUAAAGCUGCCCAGAAGACAUUGGUUGGGGUAACUGCUACACAGGAAGGGGGAAGCAGUCCCUGCUUCCCCAACAUCCAGACUCCAGGAGCUGCACUGCCUUCUUUUCAGCCCAUAAUGAAUAUAGGUAAGUGUGUGUGUGAGAGACUUCCUGCCUGUGUGUGUGUUUGAGUGACUGUCUCUCUGUGUUUAUCUGCGUGUAUGUGCCUAUCUGUGACCGUCUGCCUGUGUGUGUGGCUGUAUUCCUAUGUGUGAGUGUAUGACUCUCUGCCUCUGUCUGUGUGGUUGUGUGCCUAUUUGUGACUGUAACUGUGUGUGUGUUUGUAUGCCUAUGUGUGACUGUAACUGUGUGUGUGUGACUUUCUGCCUCUGUGUAUCUGUGUUCCUCUGUGUCACUAUAACGGUGUGUGCAUUACACUCUGCCUGUGUGUGAUUUUUCGCACAGGGCGCCUAAAGGCCACCGCCGGCCAUGGCUCUAUCUGUCCGCCAGUUCGGACAGCCAGUGAAGUUAUCACUGGGCUGUAAUGUAAACACUGCAUUUUCACUGAAAAGACAGUGCUUACAGCAAAAAGCCUGAAAGUAAUGAAUCUACUCACCAGUACAAAUUCAAUAAGCUGUAGUUGUUCUGGUGACUGUAGUGUCCCUUUAAACAGUGUGUGAGACAAUGACUAUCAGUGAGGGCAUGUUGUCUGUUCAUCUGCCUAGCCACACUGUCAUCCCCACACCCUGUCGCCUUCCUACACACUGCCCCCCACACUGUUACCUUCCUACAUACUACCCCCCUCUACGUUCACCUUCCUCCACCCUAUCCCUUCCCUUCCAGCCCACAGGUAAGAGGCAGGGACGGGGUUAAGCCCAAUUUAAUUUAAACGGCUCACACCCCAGCACUUAUCCAAAACUACAUACACUGCAUCCACCACACAAACUAGCUGCUACACUACACACACACACACACACACACUGCAUACAAUACAAAUCACAUCCACUGUUGUGGACAAAAAUAGUAACCCAAUCCAUGUUAAUAAAAUGCCUAUUUACUCAGCGUAAUUACAAUCCGCAUUAUUCAACUUUCUAUGUGAUUUACCUAAAAUGGCCGCUAGGGAGUUUCCCUUUUGACAUCGACUAACACCCUCAUUAACAAGAUGGCGCUGGAAUCUGGGGGAGACCUCCAAGAUACCAGUGACAUCACACCCGGUAGGAAGAGCACUAAAUGAACCACUUAACACCUAACCAAUUAUUGAUGUAUUAUUCCAUGUUAUCUCUGACAAUGCAUAUAAUGUAAUUUUGCUUUAUAAGGGACAUGCCGUCCCCUCAGAAUAAACAUUCCUCAAGUUUUUCAUUAACCUGAAACUUGUGUCUGGUGUGAAUUACUUUAGAAGCGUGCACGCAUUACUUCUUUAAUUUGGCCAGGGGCAGAUACGCAAGAUAAUCAAUUUAUUGAUUGAUUCCACAUCAUUUGGCGCCCAACAUGGGGCACCGG